UACGUAGGGGGGCUAGCGUUGUCCGGAAUCAUUGGGCGUAAAGCGCGUGUAGGCGGCCCGGUAAGUCCGCUGUGAAAGUCGGGGGGCUCAACCCUCGGAAGCCGGUGGAUACUGUCGGGCUCGAGUACGGAAGAGGCGAGUGGAAUUCCCGGUGUAGCGGUGAAAUGCGCAGAUAUCGGGAGGAACACCUAUGGCGAAGGCAGCUCGCUGGGACGUUACUGACGCUGAGACGCGAAAGCGUGGGGAGCAAACAGG
rnacentral:rRNA from 1 species